UUUAUUUGUUUUGUUUUGUUUUAUUUAUGAACAAAGACUUGUAAACAGGUGCAAAGCUUCAAUUCUCCUUUGCAAACCUGAACUCAUUUAGUGUGAGUUUAGAUACAUAUAAGAAGGAAUAUA
ensembl:snoRNA